rnacentral:miRNA from 1 species
GCGAUGAGCGCCGAGAGGGG